rnacentral:rRNA from 1 species
UACGAAGGGGGCUAGCGUUGCUCGGAAUGACUGGGCGUAAAGGGCGCGUAGGCGGUUCAUACAGUCAGAUGUGAAAUCCCCGGGCUCAACCUGGGAAUGGCAGUGGAUACUGGCAAGCUAGAGUGUGUCAGAGGAUGGUGGAAUUCCCGGUGUAGCGGUGAAAUGCGUAGAGAUCGGGAGGAACAUCAGUGGCGAAGGCGGCCAUCUGGGACAACACUGACGCUGAGGCACGAAAGCGUGGGGAGCAAACAGG